UGGGGAAUAUUGCACAAUGGGCGCAAGCCUGAUGCAGCCAUGCCGCGUGUGUGAAGAAGGCCUUCGGGUUGUAAAGCACUUUCAGCGAGGAGGAAGGGUAGUGUGUUAAUAGCACAUUGCAUUGACGUUACUCGCAGAAGAAGCACCGGCUAACUCCGUGCCAGCAGCCGCGGUAAUACGGAGGGUGCAAGCGUUAAUCGGAAUUACUGGGCGUAAAGCGCACGCAGGCGGUUUGUUAAGUCAGAUGGGAAAUCCCCGCUCUUAACGUGGGAACUGCAUUUGAAACUGGCAAGCUAGAGUCUUGUAGAGGGGGGUAGAAUUCCAGGUGUAGCGGUGAAAUGCGUAGAGAUCUGGAGGAAUACCGGUGGCGAAGGCGGCCCCCUGGACAAAGACUGACGCUCAGGUGCGAAAGCGUGGGGAGCAAACA
rnacentral:rRNA from 1 species